AGGGGGCAGGAAGGAGGACCAAGGGGCUUGAGGGGUAGAAAAGAGGGCAGGAAAAGGGGCUGAGGGGCAAAAAAGGGGAUCUGAAAGGGCAGGAAAGGAGGCUGAAGAAUAGGAAAGGGCAGGAAAAGGGGUCUGAGGGGCAGAAAAGAGGGGCAAGAAAGGGUCAAGAGAGCAGGAAAGGGUUCUAAAGAGGUCUGAGGGGGCCAGAAAGGGGUCUGAAAGGGCAGGAAAGGAGGCUGAGGGAUAGGAAAGAGCAGGAAAGGGGUCUGAGGGGCAGGAAAAGUCAUUAAGGGAGCAGGAAAGGGGGGAAAGGGGUCUGAGGGGGCCAGAAAGGGGUCUGAAGCAGGAGCAACUACCCCUGGGGUCUGUGGAAGGGUCAGGAAAGGGCACUUCAGGGGCAGGGCCUGUUUGGGGGGGGUCUUUCCCAGCCAUUUCCGUGAGCGAAGGGGCUGCAAAUCCCUCUGGCCCUGGGUCCCAUGGGAAAGCAUCUGGGCCGAGUGGGAGCCUCCCUCCCCUUCCAGGCCCUGCAGAAGGUGCACCAGGGGCUGCUCCGUGUGGUCCUCCAUCCGGUGGGGGUCAGCGUUGGCCGUCCAGCGGCCUCGGAGGUCCUGAGCCGGCACCUGCUGCAGAGAGGGCUGCCCCACUGGACCUCCUUCUGCAUCAAGUACAGUUCCGUGCGCAACGACCAGUUUGGGCGCUCCCACUUCAACUGGGAGGUGGCCGGGGCCAACUACCACGUCCUGCGGACCGGCUGCUUCCCCUUCAUCAAGUACCACUGCUCCCGGGCCCCACGCCAAGAUCUGGAUGCCCAGGACCGCUUCUUCACUGCCCUCAAGGUGGUCAACCUCGGCAUCCCAACUUUGCUUUACGGAAUUGGUUCCUGGUUCCUGGCCAACAUCACAGAGACUGUUCACACGCAGCAUGGACCAGUCACUAUUUAUUUCCUCAAUAAAGAAGAUGAAGGAGCCAUGUACUGAACACAGGGAGAAAGAGAUCAUACUGCCAUGGCUCAUUGCAGCAAAACGGGUGUGUGAGUCGGUGCGUUUUGCUACUUAGAAGCACAAGUUGCUAUCUGCUCUUAGGAAAACAUGUCCCCAUACUUCCUUCUGUAGCAUUUUGGUUUUCUUUGGGUCUGGCAAAUACUUAACGGACACAAUGGAGUCAUGGGGUUAAAAAAAAACCCAACCUGGGAAGUCACUUGAAUCACCAGGAACUAUUUUAAUCUGUGCAAAUUGAAAAUACACAUAAUGCUGAGCAUGUUUCUUACCUACUGACUGUGUGUUGUUCUCCUAGAUGAGUUUGCUAGCUACUUCUAUUAUAGAAUUUGAAUGUGAGUACAUGUGAUGAGCUUGAUCAUUGUAAGGCUACUGUUAGGCUAAAUGGAGUUUCAGUUCUCUAUCACUGAACAGGUAUUUUCUACAAUCCUGAACAGGUAUUUCCUGCAAAACUUCUGAAGUCAGCAAAAAUGUUUCUUCAUUUGGAUUUGUUUGUCCGUUUCAGGUUGAUCAUGGUGGAGGAUGGACUUGCAAGACAGCUGAGGUCAGAGUUCAGAUAUAAUAUCACUUGCUGGAAUCACUGAAGCUGCGAGUGACCUGUUGCAGUAUUCAAAGCAGAGGUGAGAAUCAGGCAGCCCUUGAGACUGCAAGUCCCAGCAUCCCCUAGUUAGCAUAGCCAGGGAUGAGGAGCGUUUGAAGCCACAAUCCAAUAAAAUCUGGAGGGCUGCAUCAAAUCCAUCCCUGGUAUAAUGAUGUUAUCCGCAAAAGGCAAGUCAUUCCUUGUGUAGAUAAAAAGAGGACAUGUUGAUUUUGUAAGAAUUGUGGCACUAUACUGAUUUAACCAGUGUUAUUGAAUACAAGCUUUAGAUGAUUCUGGCCCACUUCUACACCAGAACCACACUUUCUCCCCUCAAAACUGUUUAAUUGGAGUGGCAUUCUCCUGUUUUACACAUGGAAAUAUGUGGUUGGAGAUGUGUGAAUAGUGCAAUAUGGAAGACGGUGUCUUCUCUCAGCUACAAGGAACUCAGACAUUUACCUCUUUAUCCUUUGUGAUUAUACAUCAUUCCCCCCCCCCCCCAAAUUAGGAAGUUCUUACUUAUUUGAGAGGUUUAUAUAUUGCCCAGCUGGUAAAUACCAUCAGGGCAAUUUGCAAAUAUGUGUUAAAGAAUCAACAGCACAAUAGAUUUAGCAACCAGUGUUAUUGAAUACAGUGAAAUCAUAUCAAAAUGUUAAAAUAUUAGAAUGAGAAAGAGCCAGCAAUCAAACUUAAAGCAAGAAAAGCAAAAAUAAUGCCUGCUGGAAGAGGAGUGUCCUAGCCUGAUAUUUGAAUGUUGUUAAUGAAGAUGCCAGGCAGGUCUCCAUUGGGAGGCUAUUCUACAGGUGCCCAAAUAUGAAAGGUCUGAGACAAGGAUGAGAAAUAUGUGGUCCUCCAGAUAAUUGCAGAACUGCAACUCCUAUCAUCCCUUACCAUCGGCUGUGCUGACUAGGGCAGAUGGGAAUUGCAGUCCAGCAUCUUGAGAGCAGCAUGUUUUGCAGCACUGGUUUAACGUGAAUAGAGACAGCGAUUUCAGAGAUGCCAUAUGGCCUUUUUGGUCUUAUUGCCAAAGAAGAACUCAUAAUAUUUUCUUAGCCACUAUCUUUUUUGUGCGGUGUACAUUCUUUCCAAGAGAUGAGAAAAUCUGGAAACAAGUUAGACUAUUUCUACUUCGUACAAAAUCAACUUGAAUUAGUUACACGUCGACUAAAUAAUGAGCGAUCCUGCAUCAGCCUUGUGAUGCCUGAAAGUAUUUGCUCGCUAGCUAACGAACAUGGGUUACUUUAAUCAGAUCCUGGCCAGAGCAGUUUGGGACCCAGUCUUAUUUCCCCCCAAAUAUCAAAUGGGAAACUGCUUUUGGAUUUGAAGUGGGUCCAAAACCCAGCUCCAGGAUCUUGGCCAUGCUGUGCAGCGGGUCAUAAAUUGCUCUUGAUAGGCACUGUAGACGCAUCUCUCCAAUUAACUUUUGUGUUGCAUACUGAAGAUGAUCGGAAUAAAUGUUGACCUUUAAACUUUCAGGAAAGGCGAUCUGCGCUAUUCUCCGUUGAAACCCAAUAGGAGCGUCCUUGUAGGUUUGCUUUAAUUAUCUCUUUCACUGGAUACAAGGAUGAUGCCUAAAAGAGUGAGGGACCUGACAUUCGAAAGGCUGGGAACUUUGUUGUCGAGCACCAUGAAACAAAUGCCGAUAGCUGAAACCAUAGUCUAAGCUUAGCUGAUGGGUAUCUGCAUUCCCCCCCCCCCAGCAUCACCCUUUUAAACAGUAAUGACUAGUGGGAGCAUCUUAACCUAAGCAAGUACUUAGCCUGACACCUUACCCAGGUCAAUAGUCUAAGGUAUCCGAGUUAAACUGUGUUACUGUAAAUUAAUGGAAAAUGUAACUGCGCUUUGCUGAAAGAUCAAUGUCCAAUAAAGGCCACACAAUCAAAUCUUGUUGCAAUGAUUGAGGCCCUUAAUUGCCUUUCAAAGGUAAGGUGGUAAUCAACAUAGGUUAAACUGAUCUUUUUUACUAGUUCAAUUACACGCUAAUGGCGAGUGCCAAGGCAGAAUCUUUAACUACUUUUAUGUAUUAAAUCUUAUGCUAGUAAUGAAAAAUUACUUAAGAUGCCCAAUCAAUAAAGCCAAAGUCUUAAUUACGAUAUUUUACUUUUAGGUCUUUUGUGUGUUUGACAAAUUUUGUCCACCGGAGAUUUCCCAACAAUAAGAAAUGUUGUUAACACCAGCCCU